CGAACGCUGGCGGCGUGCUUAACACAUGCAAGUCGAACGCGAAAGUUUCUUUCGGGAAGCGAGUAGAGUGGCGCACGGGUGAGUAACGCGUAAGUAAUCUACCCUGGUAUCUGGGAUAACCCACCGAAAGGUGUGCUAAUACCGGAUACGCUGAUUUAUCAGGAAAGGUGGCCUCUUCAUGAAAGCUACCGUACCAGGAGGAGCUUGCGUACCAUUAGCUAGUUGGUAGGGUAAAGGCCUACCAAGGCGACGAUGGUUAGCGGGUCUGAGAGGAUGAUCCGCCACACUGGAACUGGAACACGGACCAGACUCCUACGGGAGGCAGCAGUGAGGAAUAUUGCGCAAUGGGGGAAACCCUGACGCAGCGACGCCGCGUGGAUGAUGAAGGCCUUCGGGUCGUAAAAUCCUGUCAGAUGGGAAGAAGUGCAUAUAUAUUAAUACUGUGUAUGUUUGACGGUACCAUCAAAGGAAGCACCGGCUAACUCC
rnacentral:rRNA from 1 species